GCCCAGAGUAGAAGCGUUCAGCGCGUUGCACCGGCAUGGUGCGCGUCGCCCGGAAAUUGCUCGACCC
rnacentral:ncRNA from 1 species